rnacentral:rRNA from 1 species
GACGAACCGUGCGAACGUUAUUCGGAAUCACUGGGCUUAAAGCGCGUGUAGGCGGAUGAGCACGUCUGUCGCUGAAAUCCCCCGGCUCAACCGGGGAACGGGCGCGGAUACGGCUCGUCUCGAGGGGCGUAGGGGGACCUGGAACUUCCGGUGGAGCGGUGAAAUGCGUAGAGAUCCGGAGGAACACCAGAGGCGAAGGCGGCCCACUGGGCUGCACCUGACGCUGAACCGCGAAAGCCAGGGGAGCGAACGGG